rnacentral:rRNA from 1 species
UACGGGAUAACAUAUUUGAGAGGCAUCUCUUAAAUAUCAAAGGUGAGCCAGUACAGGAUGGACCCGCGUCUGAUUAGCUAGUUGGUAAGGUAACGGCUUACCAAGGCGACGAUCAGUAGCCGACCUGCGAGGGUGAUCGGCCACAUUGGAACUGAGACACGGUCCAAACUCCUACGGGAGGCAGCAGUGGGGAAUAUUGCACAAUGGGCGAAAGCCUGAUGCAGCAACGCCGCGUGAGUGAUGAAGGCCUUCGGG